CUGAAUCAUCCUUUUAUCCAGCAUCUCCAUGUUGUAGACGCUCCCUGCUGGUGGUCCCUGACAUUGUCUGCUCCUGGCACCCAGCCACAAACAUGCUCACGGUGCAAAGAUCCAGGAUCAUCUGAGGCAGAUAAUUCUCCAUCCAAUAACUUGUCAGAAGGUCAAUGGCAGGCUAACGCUGCAUCUCAAUGCCUACAUCACGUACCCCAACUUCCUCUACAUCGCACAACAGCACAAGAAAAAGGGCAGGGAAUGUGGGAUCCUGGUAGCUGCAUGAAUGUGGAAGAGAGAGGAGACGUCUGCGGUGAGGACUGAUUGUGUGGAAUUAGGAUCACUGAGUGGAGGCUACAGAGAAACUGCUGAACACGAAGAGCAUUCCAAGGACAUCACUGCCUGUGGGCGGCAUCAUCAGCUUAGAUAAGUGGUAGGCCCCCGGCACUGCAAGUAUUGGAGGCUUUCUCUGAUCCACAGAGCCUGUCUUCCGAAAUCCAUCACAAACAGAUUGAGGUGGGGGCAGCUGCUCACCUUCUGACCAUGUGCCGGUGACAGAAAACAGACGUCCUCUGGCUCAGGGAUUUCUGAAGGAUGCAGCUGGCAGGCAACUUACGGAUGGACGGCUCAUAGGCUCUGAUGCCAUUUGAGGUAUGGCUUCUCAUCAGCAGGCCCUGAGCUGCAUGCAGAUCAUGGAGAUCAUCAUCAUCAGUCCCAGGUGGUGCCCUCUAGAGGAAGACACGAGCACAACCACACCUCCUCUGCACUGGUCCAGGCUCUGUGGAUCCCCGCAGCAGGCUCUUGGGGGCAAUGAGGAAGGAGAGAGCUGCUGUUCCAUAACAAACUUCCUAGAAACUUGGGCUUGAGCUAGAUUUGGGUCAGGCAGCUCUCCUAGGCAGCUUAUCUUCAAACGAUGGCUCAGAGAUCAAGAAUAUUCCUUUUUAUGGUGCUGUCAUCUUCAACUCAUGGCCUCCAGAGUUGGCACAGAAAGGAAAAAGG
rnacentral:lncRNA from 10 species